GAGUUUGAUCCUGGCUCAGAACGAAUGCUGGCGGCAUGCCUUACACAUGCAAGUCGAACGAGACCUUCGGGUCUAGUGGCGCACGGGCUGCGUAACGCGUGGGAAUCUGCCUUUAGGUUCUGGAAUAACUCGGGGAAACCCGUGCUAAUACCGGAUGAUGACUUCGGUCCAAAGAUUUAUCGCCUAGAGAUGAGCCUGNGUCGGAUUAGCUAGUUUGUGAGGUAAGAGCUCACCAAGGAGACGAUCNGUAGUUGGUCUGAGAGGAUGAUCAGCCACACUGGGAUUGAGACACGGCCCAGACUCCUACNGGAGGCAGCAGUGGGGAAUAUUGGACAAUGGGCGAAAGCCUGAUCCAGCCAUGUCGCGUGCGGGAAGAAGGCCUUCGGGUUGUAAACCGCUUUUANCCGGGAAGAAAAGGCCACGGAUAACACCNGUGGUUGUUGACGGUACCGGCGGAAUAA
rnacentral:rRNA from 1 species